UCAGAGGUAGAAGUAGUCAGUGCAUCAGCGCAGAUGGAACAAUCAAGAGUACAAACAUGACAAGUCUUUCUUAGGUGGUGUUAUUCAAUUAUGGAGUUAAAGUCAAUUCUUUAAGCUUUAGAUUUGUUUUUUGAUAUUGCUUUUAAGAAUAUGUUUGUAUGAAUUUCAAAAUCUCUGCAAUAUGUCUUGGAUUUUGAUUCUAAUGAUUUACUCAUAAAACUCCAAAGAGCUUUCAUUUCAAAUCAAUUAAUAUACAAAGAUUUUACAAGUCUUUUAGUUUUAAAUAACAUUGGAUUUUAAUGAAAUAUUUAAAAUCUUAAUUGAAUAACACCAAACUUUAGAAUCUAUUAAGCAUGAUUUACAAAUAUGAGUUCCAAUAACACUAGAUUUUAAAGCUGGAUUUAGAAUCAUUAGUUAAAUAACAGUGGAUUAGUGUUGGAUUUCAAUUCUAUUAAAAUCCAUUAACGAAUAACACCCCCUUAGUUUGUUACAUCAUGUCGAACAAGCAACAAAACC
rnacentral:sRNA from 1 species